UGUCAGGUGACAUACUUAAUCAUGCCAUUCUUUAGAAAUUCUCACCAUCAGGCUUUUUAGUACAAAAUUGAGUUUACUAUGCUACUUCCUGCAUCAAUUUGCGGAGGCAACUAAGUGCUGACAGCCCUACCUACCCAAUCCAAGGACCAAGGACGGGAAACUUGUCUCCAAAAUGUUUCCCAAACUGUUCAGCUACUACUCAAGAAGCAGUUGUGUCACCAGGAGAGUGAUCACUCUUGGAAGCAACAGUACUUAAUGGAGCCGUAAAAUGUUAUUGAGCUAAGGUCACCCUUUAGGAGGAGCCUAAGCAUCCUGAAUGUCUGAGGAAGAAAAUAGAAAUCUUCCAAAGAAAAUUCUUCUUCCAGAGAAAAUAUGAAUCUGAAUCCUCCAAAGUCCUGAAAAAUAAUGUGUCUACUAAAACAUUUUUUAAAGAUUCUGCAAAGGGAAGGAAUCACAUCUCACAGUACCGAAUAAAGUAAAAUUUUCUAAAAGUA